CAUAAUCUGUAUUUACCAUUCAUAUUUUGGUAGAACUAAAACUGUUUAAUAAGAUGACACAGUCGAUAUUCAAUAUUAUAGUGUGUGUAUAAAUUUCUAAAUAUUUGCAAAUUGUUACGGUAGUGAUUGAAGCAGAACUGUUCAAUUUUUAAGGGUCCACAUAUGAUUGACACAGCUGGGGACCGCACUAUUUCGUUCAAAAUAAGUUGCUUGUUUUGGUUAAUAAUUCCAAGAUAAGGAAUAAACUAAUCACAGAUACAAGGCUUGUAACUUUUUUCAAUAAACGCUCGUUUUGCCCACAAAAGAAUCACCAGUGACGCUGAGAAAGACGGAAUUUUUAUGGUGAUGAUGUAGAAAAAGGUGAAUAGGGACAGUAGAAGACUUAUAAUAACAAAUAUCAAAAAUAAAAACGAAGAAAGGUGCAAACAACAAUUUCAAACAAAUAUACAACAACAACAAAAACCACACUAAAACACAUAGGUGCACCAUUAGGUUAAAUUAAGUAACAUAUAGUUUACCAAUGUUUAAAUCUCAUAAAUUGAUUUAGACAUUUUAAGUCUACAUUUGAAAUUCAUCUAUACAGGUUAUGAAAAUAAGUACCCC
rnacentral:lncRNA from 1 species